rnacentral:rRNA from 1 species
UACGAGUGCCCCAAGCGUUAUCCGGAAUCAUUGGGCGUAAAGGGUGUGUAGGCGGUUGUGUUAGUCUUUUGUUAAAUUCUUCGGCUUAACCGGGGACCUGCGAAGGAAACGGCACAACUAGAGGAUGCGAGAGGUGAAUGGAACUCAUGGAGUAGGGGUGAAAUCCGUUGAUAUCAUGGGGAACACCAAAAGCGAAGGCAAUUCACUGGCGCACUCCUGACGCUGAGACACGAAAGCGUAGGUAGCGAAUGGG